UGUAUACAGCACACAAGAUGACACAGAGGGAAAUUAAACAGACACGCAUUUUGUCUUCACUUGAUUCAACUUGAUAGCAGAAAAUGGAAAAACUUGAACUCUUUGUUUUUUUUGCACAAACAGCCAAAAUGUGUCCUCUAAUUAUUUGGAAUCCAUCGUCUUAAUUCAUCAACAUUGUUCAAGGCCUUUGACUAAACUUGCCAUUUUCAUGGUUACUUUGUCAAACUAAUCUUUAACCAACAAGGUCAGUACCCAUGCUUCAUUAUAUGAUAUAUUUCCCUUCCCUUCAUCGAUAUGUUUAACCAAAAGUGAUACAGAAUGGUAACAAUUAACAAUCAGUUGACCAUUGGUGUAAUUCAACUCUACUCUAUACAUAAAUCAUUUCAACGUUAUUAUGAGUAAAUUCAUUCUUAUAUGAAUUAUUGAGUGGGCCAAAUUUUCACAAAAGAGAUUACUCUUUUCCCAUUGUAUGGUUGAUCCAAAGAUUCCGGAAGAAUACAAUAAUCAAGACAAUCCAAAGGCUGAAAUCAGAAUAAAAAUCGGAAACUAAUUCAAUAAUGAUAGCAAUACAACUUAUCAAUGAGUUAUUUGAUGAAGCAAUUUCCACCCAAAGUCUAGACUUGUGAUCUUGAUUGAUUGUCGCUCGUUACAACCAGGUCAAGCUUUAAAACUACAAGGUUUAGUGUAGGACAAAUGAAAAUAAUUAUUUCCACUGUUAAUUACCAGGAAAAUUUGGAAAGCAACAAAAGGCCAACUACAUUUUAUUAUUUAUGGCUCUCACUUUAAAAUGAUGAAGAUGAACUUUGAUGAUUAAAAACAAACCAAGCAUGGUUAAACAGAAAGGAGGAGAAAGAACCACAACAGACGAAAGUGAAUAAUGAAGAAAUUGAUGAGAUUGGUCAAGAUAGAAGAAUCAAAAACUUGGAUUUCAAUCAUUGGUUAAUCAGUAGUGGAUCCCAUCGAUUUUGUACAAUUACCUUGAAAGGAUGAAAAACAAGCAAAAUUGGAUUCUUUGAGACAACAAUAUAAAGCUGAACGUCAACAAGCAAAACAUCGUUAUUGCCAUCAUAGUAAACUUUAUGGCUCGUCAUGGAAAGAUGUGUAUUACAUGGUGAAACUCAGAUUAUGAUGAUUGACAUUGAUUAAAAACAAUGGUAUAGAUGACAUUUCUCACAAUAAAAAUGUCCUGGGAAACAAUUUGAAUCGCUAAUGUUACUCUAACAACAAAACAUUGCCUUGACGUCACUUUAAAAUUGAAUGCAUUUGUUGCUGUUGUUUACUAGGCCGUUAGCUUUUCUCGCUCAAAGAUGAACAUUAUUUUGGAGGCCAAGGAGAUGAUGAUGAUGCUUGAGAAAAACUGGAAGCAAAGUAAAUGUCAUGAAAAUGUAAAAUUAAUCAUCAAGGAAGCUCAUCAAUGAUGAGGAGAUUCGUGCUUAUUAUGCAAAGGAAGAUCCAGAAUGAAAGACACAAGACGCUUUACAGCAAAAAGAGAAAUACAAAUUUAUGCUAACGAAAGGUGAAAUAAAAGGAACAGGAAAAAGACACGAAGGUGGAGAUUGAAGGGUUGAAAUUGGAAGAGACGAAAAGACAAAAAUCUGGUUAAAAAGCUUGUUAAUUGUCAAGCAAAGAUGGAAUCAAGAAAAGUCUGGUUGAAAGUAAACACAAGUUGUGUUUAAAAAACAGUUAAGAGUUGGGAUGAAAUGAAGAGCACUUGAGAUCUACUUUAGCAGAAACACUUUUUUUUAUUACUCGAUGAGUUGCUAAUGAUAAUCUUGGUUUUGACAAAAUCCAUUUUUGUAAUGGCAACAGUGAAUAAUUGCAAGUGCUAAUCAACUCUAGUGGUCCUUUGAUGGUUUUUGCUUCUUCAGCCAACUAUGAUAAUCUGGCAGAUUACGGGACUCGACUUUUAAUCGUUACCUUUGAAGCCAACUUUGCGUUUAAUCAUUCAACAGAAAUAUUUACUUCUGUGGAGCCAUACAUUUGAAAAUGAGGUUUGAUCGAGUAAAUUGCUGGUUAUCAGCCAAGGAUGCAAAUGAACUACUCAUGAAUAGAGCUGCUACUAGAGUUGAAUAGUGAUUAUCAGACAUUUCAAGAGAAUCUCAUUAUCUAGUUGUUCACUGAAUUUAAUUUAAUUUUGUACACCUUAACCAUCAUUUUAUUGAAGAUCAACAAGUUAAAGAUUUCCUCACUCAAUUGCCUUCUCAACUCAAUUGUUUCUAAAAUAUUCCUCCAUCGUGAAUCAAAUUCAUUUCAAUUAUAGUGUACACUGUACGUGCUCACUUUUUUUCAUCCCAAUCUACCUUUAAUUGUUAUUUAUUGUCGACAUUAUUUCACCUUCCUUUGUUGGUUACAGCAAACUGCUUCUAGAAACAAUUAGUUUCCAUGUUAUUUUACCUUGCUCAUUAUCAUGUUGCAAAAAUUACUUUAUCUGACCGCAAUCUUAAUCCCACCUCGUCAUUUAAUAUACACUUGCGUGUAAAUUGUAGAAGCAAGCAUCAAUUAAUUAAUCUUGCAAAUUCAAGUUAACCAAAUUAACCUUUCUCAUAAAUUUAUUGCUCUUUUUAAAUGUUAAAUUAACUCUGUAAUUAUCAGCAAACAAUUGAUUUUAAAUCAUUUAGCAUCCUUGAUAACUCUUCAAAACAGAAACAAAAUUGUUAAAGAAAUGAAAAUUUUGACCAAAAAACUCAUUAACUUGAGGCAGUAAAUGUGUAUUUAAAUGGAAUGUAUGAAAAUAGAAAAAUGAAAAACAUUUCAACCAA